ACUACGGGCGGCUGCAGUGAGGAAUAUUGGUCAAUGGGCGCGAGCCUGAACCAGCCAAGUAGCGUGAAGGAUGACUGCCCUACGGGUUGUAAACUUCUUUUAUAAAGGAAUAAAGUGAGGCACGUGUGCCUUUUUGUAUGUACUUUAUGAAUAAGGAUCGGCUAAAUCCGUGCCAGCAGCCGCGGUAAUACGGGGGAUCCGAGCGUUAUCCGGAUUUAUUGGGUUUAAAGGGAGCGUAGAUGGGUUGUUAAGUUAGUUGGGAAAGUUUUCGGCUCAAACGUAAAAUUGCAAUUGAUACUGGCAGUCUUGAGUACAGUUGAGGUAGGCGGAAUUCGUGGUGUAGCGGUGAAAUGCUUAGAUAUCACGAAGAACUCCGAUUGCGAAGGCAGCAUACUAAACUGCCACUGACAUUGAUGCUCGAAAGUGUGGGUAUCAAACAGGAUUAGAUACCCCAGUAGUC
rnacentral:rRNA from 1 species